rnacentral:rRNA from 1 species
AUUGAACGCUGGCGGCAGGCCUAACACAUGCAAGUCGAGCGGAUGAAGGGAGCUUGCUUCUGGUUACAGCGGCGGACGGGUGAGUAAUGCCUAGGAAUCUGCCUGGUAGUGGGGGAUAACGUCCGGAAACGGGCGCUAAUACCGCAUACGUCCUGAGGGAGAAAGUGGGGGAUCUUCGGACCUUACGCUAUCAGAUGAGCCUAGGUCGGAUUAGCUAGUUGGUGGGGUAAAGGCCUACCAAGGCGACGAUCCGUAACUGGUCUGAGAGGAUGAUCAGUCACACUGGAACUGAGACACGGUCCAGACUCCUACGGGAGGCAGCAGUGGGGAAUAUUGGACAGUGGGCGGAAGCCUGAUCCAGCCAUGCCGCGUGGGUGAAGAAGGUCUUCGGAUUGUAAAGCACUUUUGGUUGGGAGGAGGGGCAGUACGUUAAUACCUUGCUGUUUUGACGGUACCGACAGAAUAAGCACCGGCUAACUUCGUG